rnacentral:rRNA from 1 species
UACGAAGGGGGCUAGCGUUGUUCAGAAUUACUGGGCGUAAAGCGCACGUAGGCGGAAUGUUAAGUCAGGGGUGAAAUCCCGGGGCUCAACCCCGGAACUGCCUUUGAUACUGGCAUUCUCGAGUCCGGAAGAGGUGAGUGGAAUUCCGAGUGUAGAGGUGAAAUGCGCAGAUAUCAGGAGGAACACCGGUGGCGAAGGCGGGUCUCUGGGCCGAUACUGACGCUGAGGAGCGAAAGCGUGGGGAGCGAUCCGG